AGCGGAGGAAAAGAAACUAACAAGGAUUCCCGUAGUAACUGCGAGUGAAGUGGGAAGAGCUCAAAUUUGAAAUCUGGCGGUCUGUGGUCGUCCGAGUUGUAAUCUAGAGAAGUGUUACCUGCGCUGGACCGUGUACAAGUCUCCUGGAACGGAGCGUCAUAGAGGGUGAGAAUCCCGUCUCUGACACGGACUACCAGGGCUCUGUGGUAUGCUCUCAAAGAGUCGAGUUGUUUGGGAAUGCAACUCAAAAUGGGUGGUAAACUCCAUCUAAAGCUAAAUAUUGGCGAGAGACCGAUAGCGAACAAGUACCGUGAGGGAAAGAUGAAAAGGACUUUGGAAAGAGAGUUAAACAGUACGUGAAAUUGCUGAAAGGGAAACGCUUGAAGUCAGUCGCGUUGGCUGGGGAUCAGCCUCACACUCUUGUGUGGGGUGUAUUUCCUGGUCCGACGGGUCAGCAUCAAUUUUGGCUGUUGGAAAAAGGCUUGAGGAAGGUGGCAGCCUCGGCUGUGUUUAUAGCCUCUUGUCGCAUACAGCAGUCGGGAUUGAGGUACUCUGCAGCACGCCGCAAGGUUGGGGCUUUAGCCCACACCCCGUGCUUAGGAUGUUGACAUAAUGGCUUUAA
rnacentral:rRNA from 1 species